rnacentral:lncRNA from 1 species
AUUAAUGUUACAAUUUGUUUAUGCGAUCAUAAAACUGAUUUAAGGUAUAUUAUGUGAUUAUAUUAGGAAUGCCUUUAUAAUGCAUUCAUUAUAUAUUCAGUACAACCUUUAUAGAAAGUGGUUUGCGUUUUUUGAGAUGUUUGAUUAUUUUCAUGUUACAAUGUCAGGAGUCCAAGAUAUUGGUAGGCCCUCCACAGUGAGAUAAGAGAGAAUAGAGUGUGUGACCCUCUCAGAUAGAGCAUAUGUUCUGCCCUGAGAUACCAGUCCUUUAAUUGUUACUGACAUACUGCUCACUGCAGUCACAGUGUCACCAAGCGUUUUGUUAGAGUUUUAAUGAAAAAUGUAUAGCUUCGGUUGUCCCUGUCCAGACACUUUUCCCUGUGUCUCUCCCUCUCUGUGGCCAAAGAUAAAGCGAGGUCUCCAUGCAAGUCUGCAGGAGCUUAAACGCUGCCACAGGCUGCUGGAGAGGUUCAGAAGGUCUCCGCAAAAUGGAUCGACUCACUCGCAAAGACCCCACAGAUGGAGAGGCCAGCAGAAUCAGUGGUCUGUCCCACCACCAUCUGCCGUGAUGCUGGGAGAAACUUUGGGGCUGGCAUCAGUUGGAGCUCCCAACAUGACCAAAUGUUUAUGCAGAGAUGGCCAGCCAAUAAUGAACUAAUUAUUCCGUCACUGAUCCGUCAGAUGGCUGGUGUACAGAGGGCCGCUCCAGCCAGGUGGUAUCUGUGAGAGAGAUGUUCAUUAGCAAGUUUGGAAAAGUAUGCUGAUACUAAUGGUGCUGUGCUCGCAACCCAUGCCGGGGAGCUGGGAGAGGAGGGCAGACCCAGCCACCUGUUACACAAACCGCCCCGAUGCUGUUGGGAGAUAUGUGGAGACGCAUGCAGACAUCUGGACCUUUCUCAGCAUUCUAGAAUGUUCUCAUACUUUUCUCUGAUUUAUUGGUCAACCAAGUAGGGUUUUCAACAUUUAAUUCUGAUGGUUAAAUUAUUGUAUGCAAGUAUAUGUGCAGUAUAUACACCAACACUACUGUUUAAAAGUCCAAAAAUUUCGUUUAUUAUAUUUUUUUUUUAUGUCUUUUAUAC